GCCUUUGAGUGAUAAUGAAUUGUUGCUCGCUAUCCUUAUUGGUCUAGAUCAAGAAUAUGACACGGUUGUGAGUUUGAUUACAUAUCAAAU